rnacentral:rRNA from 1 species
UGGGGAAUUUUGCGCAAUGGGCGAAAGCCUGACGCAGUGAUGCCGCGUGAGGGACGAAGGCCUUCGGGUUGUAAACCUCUGUGAGAAGGGAAGAAAAGGACGUAUUCUAAUAGGGUAUGUUUUUGACUGUACUUUCAGAGGAAGUGACGGCAAACUCUGUGCCAGCAGCCGCGGUAAUACAGAGGGGGCAAGCGUUAUUCGGAAUUAUUGGGCGUAAAGGGCGCGUAGGCGGUUUUUUAAGUCAGAUGUGUAAUCCCCGAGCUCAACUUGGGAACUGCAUCUGAGACUGGAAGGCUAGAGUACUGGAGAGGGUGGUGGAAUUCCUCGUGUAGCGGUGAAAUGCGUAGAGAUGAGGAGGAACACCAGUGGCGAAGGCGGCCACCUGGACAGUAACUGACGCUGAGGCGCGAAAGUGUGGGUAGCAAACAGG